UACGUAGGCAGCAAGCGUUGUUCGGAGUUACUGGGCGUAAAGAGUGCGUAGGCGGUCCUAUAAGUUCCGUGUGAAAUCUCCCGGCUCAACUGGGAGGGUGCGCGGAAGACUGUAGGGCUUGAGUGUGGGAGAGGUAAGCGGAAUUCCCGGUGUAGCGGUGAAAUGCGCAGAUAUCAGGAGGAACACCAAUGGCGAAGGCAGCUCGCUGGGACGGUACUGACACUGAGACGCGAAAGCGUGGGGAGCAAACAGG
rnacentral:rRNA from 1 species